UGAGGAAUAUUGGUCAAUGGGCGUAAGCCUGAACCAGCCAUCCCGCGUGAAGGACGAAGGCGCUAUGCGUUGUAAACUGCUUUUCCAGGGAGAGAAACUUGCGUACGCGUUGCGCAAUUGACGGUACCCUGGGAAUAAGCAUCGGCUAACUCCGUGCCAGCAGCCGCGGUACUACGGAGGAUGCGAGCGUUAUCCGGAGUCAUUGGGUUUAAAGGGUGCGUAGGCGGACUAUUAAGUCAGUGGUGAAAUCCUGCAGCUUAACUGCAGAACUGCCAUUGAUACUGAUAGCCUUGAGUUUGGUUAAGGUAGGCGUAAUGUGUAAUGUAGCGGUGAAAUGCUUAGAUAUUACGCAGGACACCAAUUGCGUAGGCAGCUUACUGAGCUGACACUGACGCUGAGGCACGAAAGCGUGGGGAUCGAACA
rnacentral:rRNA from 1 species